rnacentral:rRNA from 1 species
AUUAAACGCUGGCGGCAUGCCUUACACAUGCAAGUCGAACGGCAGCACGGGGGCAACCCUGGUGGCGAGUGGCGGACGGGUGAGUAAAGCAUCGGAACGUAUCCUGGAGUGGGGGAUAACGUAGCGAAAGUUACGCUAAUACCGCAUAUUCUGUGAGCAGGAAAGCAGGGGAUCGCAAGACCUUGCGCUCUGGGAGCGGCCGAUGUCGGAUUAGCUAGUUGGUGGGGUAAAGGCCUACCAAGGCGACGAUCCGUAGCGGGUCUGAGAGGAUGAUCCGCCACACUGGGACUGAGACACGGCCCAGACUCCUACGGGAGGCAGCAGUGGGGAAUUUUGGACAAUGGGCGCAAGCCUGAUCCAGCCAUGCCGCGUGAGUGAAGAAGGCCUUCGGGUUGUAAGACUCUUUCGCGGGGAAGGAAAUUAGCACGGGUUAA